rnacentral:rRNA from 1 species
AUGAACGCUAGCUACAGGCUUAACACAUGCAAGUCGAGGGGAAACGACAUCGAAAGCUUGCUUUUGGUGGGCGUCGACCGGCGCACGGGUGAGUAACGCGUAUCCAACCUCGCCCACCACUUGGGGAUAACCUUGCGAAAGUAAGACUAAUACCCAAUGAUAUCCCACGAAGGCAUCCGAAUGGGAUUAAAGAUUUAUCGGUGAUGGAUGGGGAUGCGUCUGAUUAGCUUGUUGGCGGGGUAACGGCCCACCAAGGCAACGAUCAGUAGGGGUUCUGAGAGGAAGGUCCCCCACAUUGGAACUGAGACACGGUCCAAACUCCUACGGGAGGCAGCAGUGAGGAAUAUUGGUCAAUGGGCGAGAGCCUGAACCAGCCAAGUAGCGUGCAGGAUGACGGCCCUAUGGGUUGUAAACUGCUUUUAUAAGGGAAUAAAGUGGGUCUCGUGAGACUUUUUGCAUGUACCUUAUGAAUAAGGACCGGCUAAUUCCGUG